rnacentral:rRNA from 1 species
GACGAACGCUGGCGGCGUGCUUAACACAUGCAAGUCGAACGGAAAGGCCCUGCUUUUGUGGGGUGCUCGAGUGGCGAACGGGGGAGUAACACGUGAGUAACCUGCCCUUGACUUUGGGAUAACUUCAGGAAACUGGGGCUAAUACCGGAUAGGAGCUCCUGCUGCAUGGUGGGGGUUGGAAAGUUUCGGCGGUUGGGGAUGGACUCGCGGCUUAUCAGCUUGUUGGUUGGGUAGUGGCUUACCAAGGCCUUGACGGGUAGCCGGCCUGAGAGGGUGACCGGCCACAUUGGGACUGAGAUACGGCCCAGACUCCUACGGGAGGCAGCAGUGGGGAAUAUUGCACAAUGGGCGGAAGCCUGAUGCAGCAACGCCGCGUGCGGGAUGACGGCCUUCGGGUUGUAAACCGCUUUCGCCUGUGACGAAGCGUGAGUGACGGUAAUGGGUAAAGAAGCACCGGCUAACUACGUG